rnacentral:tRNA from 1 species
GCCCCGGUAGCUCAGUGGAUAGAGCAAUCCCCUCCUAAGGGAUAGGUCACACGUUCGAUUCGUGUUCGGGGCGCCA